rnacentral:rRNA from 1 species
UACGAAGGGGGCGAGCGUUGUUCGGAAUUACUGGGCGUAAAGGGCGCGUAGGCGGCCGAUCAAGUCAGAUGUGAAAGUCCUGGGCUUAACCUGGGGACUGCAUUUGAUACUGAUUGGCUUGAAUGCAGGAGAGGAUAGCGGAAUUCCCAGUGUAGAGGUGAAAUGCGUAGAUAUCAGGAGGAACACCUGUGGCGAAAGCGGCUCACUGGACCACAACUGACGCUGAGGCGCGAAAGCUAGGGGAGCAAACAGG